AUGCUGAUGUGUCUCGGGCACGUUGCAAAUCCCGCCCGAACCCGGCUGCUGCCGCUGCCCCUUUCCCCUCCCCAGCGGGUAACGUGCGGAUACCGACGGCGGGCCUCGGCGGGCGCCCGCAUCCCGCGCGGCCGGCCGGCAGCUAACGGUGCCGCGUGCCCCGCCGCUUUGCUCGCUCCUGGGCUUUUCCAUGGAGCGUUUUAUUUCUUUCUUUCCCUCUUCCCGUCAAACCAGGGUGCAUCGAGCUGCCACGGGCUCCGAGUCUGGGGGCGGCGGGCAGGGGCUAGAAAUCAGCUCUGUGGCAGUGGGCCGGCGUCCGCCCUGCCGCCCGGCGGCGCCGGGGAGGGAAGCCGGGCCGAGCGGCUCGGCUCGGUCUCCCUUUCCUGGGCACUGCUGCCAGCCUGCACUGAGUUUGCCGGCUCCAUCCCAGCUGUCUUCCCGCGUGAGGUCACCGCUCCGGCGCAUGAGGUCGGAGCUGGCCGCUGCGGGACCCGCAAGGGCAGGGACGGGGCGGUCUGCGGUGCCUGGGGCCGGGAAAGGGGGAGAGCCCGGAGCCGGAGGGCGGGCUGUGAAGGCGCCGAUCUCAUUUUCAUGCAAACGUUGCUACUAAUAAUAAUUGCAAGGAAGAAAGCYGGGGGGAAAGAGCAGGAAAGAGUGAGGCAGAAAAUCCACGCGAGAGGGAAGCCAAAGCCUUUCCGAGGGGGACGAGCGCGGAGGUUUCCGUGGCCCUUCCCGGCUCGGCGAGGGCAGCCGGCGAGCGGAUGUCUCCCAGCCCCAGGGCCGUCCAAGCCCGUGAGCGGUGCCAUCGGCMCCGGGGAGGCCGGAGCCUCUGGAGRUGAAGGGACAWGMCCAAGGCUGCSCAACACGGCGGCAGCAGAGGCGGGAAUAGGGCCACGGGCACGUGAGUGUCCCAACCGUCUUCCAGCGACGGGACCGUGCUGCCGGCUGGCUCCGAGCGCUGAGCGGACGAGGGAAGGAGACAGCCCGGGUUUCGCAUCCUCUUCUGCACGGGGCCGCCCCAAUUUGCCCGGGGGGGGGGGCUGA
rnacentral:lncRNA from 1 species